rnacentral:snoRNA from 1 species
UAGCGUUGAAAACUGAUUACCAAUGGAUUGACUGAGAUGGCCAUUGUGUAUGAGUCAACGCAAUAACUAUUCUUUCCAUGCCAUGCUUACAUACAUUACCUGUGCAUGACAUCACAGGUAAUUAGCAUAAAAUGGGGACACCUCUU